UCUUGGGGCUGGCGGGAUCAGGUGGUGCUUGCUGGGAAAUGUGUACCUAGACCAGCAGUUCUCAACCUGUGGGUCGCAACCCCAUUUGGGGGCUCACAUAGAUAUCCUGCCUAUCAAAUAUUUAAACUAUAAUUCAUAACAGUAGCAGAAUUACAGUUCAGAAGUGGCAAUGAAAUAAUUUUUAUGACGAGGUCACAACGUGAGGAACUGUAUUAAAGGACUGCAGGAGCAGGAAGGCUGAGAACCACUGGCCUAAAUGCUAAAUGGAAACAAGGCAGCUUCCCUCACAAGGCUCAGAGUCCGCAUGAUGACUCACUUGUUGACGUCGACUAACUAGGACAGGAACUCGCAGGCACCAGCUCUCUGCAGGACGAUCCCAAGGGAACCUCCUUCCCAAGCCUUACUUUAUGUCUGGAAUUCCGUCAUUCACGGGGUAGCUUUAGCUCCAGCAGGUUUUGCUGACGGGAAACGUAAUAAAACUUCUCCAGCA